AUGCUGGAGGUAUCAGAAGUGCGAAUGCUGACAUAAGUAACGAUAAAGCGGGUGAAAAGCCCGCUCGCCGGAAGACCAAGGGUUCCUGUCCAACGUUAAUCGGGGCAGGGUGAGUCGACCCCUAAGGCGAGGCCGAAAGGCGUAGUCGAUGGGAAACAGGUUAAUAUUCCUGUACUUGGUGUUACUGCGAAGGGGGGACGGAGAAGGCUAUGUUGGCCGGGCGACGGUUGUCCCGGUUUAAGCGUGUAGGCUGGUUUUCCAGGCAAAUCCGGAAAAUCAAGGCUGAGGCGUGAUGACGAGGCACUACGGUGCUGAAGCAACAAAUGCCCUGCUUCCAGGAAAAGCCUCUAAGCAUCAGGUAACAUCAAAUCGUACCCCAAACCGACACAGGUGGUCAGGUAGAGAAUACCAAGGCGCUUGAGAGAACUCGGGUGAAGGAACUAGGCAAAAUGGUGCCGUAACUUCGGGAGAAGGCACGCUGAUAUGUAGGUGAAGUCCCUCGCGGAUGGAGCUGAAAUCAGUCGAAGAUACCAGCUGGCUGCAACUGUUUAUUAAAAACACAGCACUGUGCAAACACGAAAGUGGACGUAUACGGUGUGACGCCUGCCCGGUGCCGGAAGGUUAAUUGAUGGGGUUAGCCGCAAGGCGAAGCUCUUGAUCGAAGCCCCGGUAAACGGCGGCCGUAACUAUAACGGUCCUAAGGUAGCGAAAUUCCUUGUCGGGUAAGUUCCGACCUGCACGAAUGGCGUAAUGAUGGCCAGGCUGUCUCCACCCGAGACUCAGUGAAAUUGAACUCGCUGUGAAGAUGCAGUGUACCCGCGGCAAGACGGAAAGACCCCGUGAACCUUUACUAUAGCUUGACACUGAACAUUGAGCCUUGAUGUGUAGGAUAGGUGGGAGGCUUUGAAGUGUGGACGCCAGUCUGCAUGGAGCCGACCUUGAAAUACCACCCUUUAAUGUUUGAUGUUCUAACGUUGACCCGUAAUCCGGGUUGCGGACAGUGUCUGGUGGGUAGUUUGACUGGGGCGGUCUCCUCCUAAAGAGUAACGGAGGAGCACGAAGGUUGGCUAAUCCUGGUCGGACAUCAGGAGGUUAGUGCAAUGGCAUAAGCCAGCUUGACUGCGAGCGUGACGGCGCGAGCAGGUGCGAAAGCAGGUCAUAGUGAUCCGGUGGUUCUGAAUGGAAGGGCCAUCGCUCAACGGAUAAAAGGUACUCCGGGGAUAACAGGCUGAUACCGCCCAAGAGUUCAUAUCGACGGCGGUGUUUGGCACCUCGAUGUCGGCUCAUCACAUCCUGGGGCUGAAGUAGGUCCCAAGGGUAUGGCUGUUCGCCAUUUAAAGUGGUACGCGAGCUGGGUUUAGAACGUCGUGAGACAGUUCGGUCCCUAUCUGCCGUGGGCGCUGGAGAACUGAGGGGGGCUGCUCCUAGUACGAGAGGACCGGAGUGGACGCAUCACUGGUGUUCGGGUUGUCAUGCCAAUGGCACUGCCCGGUAGCUAAAUGCGGAAGAGAUAAGUGCUGAAAGCAUCUAAGCACGAAACUUGCCCCGAGAUGAGUUCU
rnacentral:rRNA from 2 species